rnacentral:lncRNA from 1 species
UCAACUAGCUAUAUUGAGCGUCAAAGGACAUAUAAGAGUAAGGGUGGUGGUUUAUUACAAAUAUCAUUAGCUAUGUCUUGUGGUCGUGACUAGUGAAUUGUUCUUAAUUAUUUUCAUUGCUUAUGCAUUUCGACUGCAUGUUUAAUCAGCAGGUCAAAACUGGAAAAGUUUUCUCGGCUAGAUCAGUUUAACACAUUAAUAUUAGCUAAAAAUAGAUCUUGGUUAUUUUUAAAAUUAUUAUAGGCCUGCACUCUUUUAAGAAAUGAUUAUAGAGUGGAUCUAAGAAAAGCUUCUUUUCUCUUAUUCAGAAAAAAAAUCUGGACCAUAAAAAAAGAAGUUGGUUGGGCUUUCUUGGACAACCCUGUCUAUUCAAGUUUCUUGGAUAUAUUCGUUGUUUUUUUGGUUAAGAGAUCAUGAGCGUAUAUUUACAGAUGUCUAGCAUGUUAAACUUGCUAUUUUUGUGGGGGAUGUGGAUUUGACUUGGAACCUAGUAACAUAAGGUGGGCACAUUUUGACAUGCAUAUGGUUUGAGCACUUCAUUUGAAAGCCUUGUUGCAGCUGCUGUAGUAGCAGGCUGCUAUUCCAAGAGUGUUUUUAGUGCUUCAUUCUUAUUCCCUCAAUCUUUUGAAACUCUCUUUAUCUCAUUCCUGAUGUACAUUUUUUGGUUACCUGCUUAAUUUACAUCCAUGUUAACAAAAUGCAUUGCUUGCCUUCCUGAGUACUACUCUUUUCACUUUUUAACUUGGUUCCGUUUGUAAGUCCUUAUUCAUUCUGUUGUAAUAUACCCUUUUGACUGGCAUCUAAUUGUUGUAGUUUUGGACUUCCUGUAAUUCAAACAUUUAAAAAAAGGUCAUACUGACUUGUAGCAAUUGUAUAGGCUUUGCAUAUGUUCCACAUGACACAUGAGAGAGGGAAGGAGGGACUCUAUUGGAAAGAUAUGUUUCAUGUAAGUGUGUUACAAGUUAUGUCUGUCCAUCAGUCUAAGAUGGCAUGUAGUAGAUGUCAGGAAGAUAGGCAUACAUGCAUCUUUUGCUUGUAAUAUGUAAUGUAACUUUCAUCAUUCCAACUGAAAGGAGACACACUUAAAUGACUUUGCUAUUCAGAAACUGUAACAAUUAAGUUUAACCAAGCUGAAAUAACAUUGGUUGAAAUCCUUAUGCUUGUCUAUGUCAUACUUGUCUAUGUUGAUAUUUAAAAAAAAUAUCAACUGACUAUUACACUUCUGGUACCUCUCUAAUGUCUUGAGCAUGUUGUUUCAUUGUCACAAGCUUAUGAUGCUUCAGUUUAGAACACAAUUAGAUAAUCCCAAAGCAAAUAUGUUUUCAUUAUGAAGUUAAUAAUAGAUCUAUAUUUUUUCAUCUCGUUGGUACCUGAUUUUAACCCUCAGAAAAUCUGAAAAGUUUCUUUUGCAUUCUUACACAGAUUUAAAGACAACCAAUUACUUGUUGUCAUCUCUGACUUGUUUUUGAAAACUUUGUGCUUUAAGAUUUUUGCUGGAUAUAAGAUUGUUUCAUCCUAGCAAAAAGAACUGAAGACUUAGAGAUCGACAUUCUAGUACAUUUGAAAACUUUGUGCUUUAUGGAUCGUUUAUGGACCAUACCCAUUCUUAUAAUGAUAAAUCAACUCUUGAAGGAUAAUGACUUUAUUUAUCCUCUUUUGUAGGUGGAGCAAUUGAAGAAAGGGAAGAUGGAGAUUGUGAAGAUCUAGGCUUUACUUAAGAACUUUGAAUUGUUGUCCAUGUUCUAGGAAUCUUUUGUUAUCAACAUUUGAAACUUAUAACUCUAACUCUUGAAGUGUUGAAAUAUAAAACUUAUGUGAUAUUGGGUUAAAAUAUUUUGGUUUUAUGGAGAC